GGCGACGAUGGCAAAGAGGAUCACCUGUUCUCAUUCCGAACACAGAAGUUAAGCUCUUUUACGCUGAAAGUACUUGGUUGGAAACGACCUGGGAGGAUAAGGAGUUGCCG
rnacentral:rRNA from 1 species